GAUGAACGCUGGCGGCGUGCCUAAUACGUGCAAGUCGAGCGAAUGGAUUAAGAGCUUGCUCUUAUGAAGUUAGCGGCGGACGGGUGAGUAACACGUGGGUAACCUGCCCAUAAGACUGGGAUAACUCCGGGAAACCGGGGCUAAUACCGGAUAACAUUUUGAACCGCAUGGUUCGAAAUUGAAAGGCGGCUUCGGCUGUCACUUAUGGAUGGACCCGGGUCGCAUUAGCUAGUUGGUGAGGUAACGGCUCACCAAGGCAACGAUGAGUAGCCGACCUUAGAGGGUGAUCGGCCACACUGGGACUGGAACACGGCCCAGACUCCUACGGGAGGCAGCAGUAGGGAAUCUUCCGCAAUGGACGAAAGUCUGACGGAGCAACGCCGCGUGAGUGAUGAAGGCUUUCGGGUCGUAAAACUCUGUUGUUAGGGAAGAACAAGUGCUAGUUGAAUAAGCUGGCACCUUGACGGUACCUAACCAGAAAGCCACGGCUAACUACGUGCCAGCCGCCGCGGUAA
rnacentral:rRNA from 1 species